rnacentral:antisense_RNA from 1 species
CUUCAGGGCGCCCAGCCACAGCGGGCGGUCCGCGGGCCUGCCCUGGCCGUAGGUGGCGAGGAGCGCCUGCGCCUC